CCUACGGGGGGCAGCAGUGGGGAAUAUUGGACAAUGGGGGCAACCCUGAUCCAGCCAUGCCGCGUGUGUGAAGAAGGCCCUCGGGUUGUAAAGCACUUUCAGUGAGGAAGAACGCCUGGUGGUUAAUACCCAUCAGGAAAGACAUCACUCACAGAAGAAGCACCGGCUAACUCCGUGCCAGCAGCCGCGGUAAUACGGAGGGUGCGAGCGUUAAUCGGAAUUACUGGGCGUAAAGCGCGCGUAGGUGGCUUGAUAAGCCGGUUGUGAGAGCCCCGGGCUCAACCUGGGAACGGCAUCCGGAACUGUCAAGCUAGAGUGCAGGAGAGGAAGGUAGAAUUCCCGGUGUAGCGGUGAAAUGCGUAGAGAUCGGGAGGAAUACCAGUGGCGAAGGCGGCCUUCUGGACUGACACUGCCACUGAGGUGCGAAAGCGUGGGUAGCAAACAGGAUUAGAUACCCCUGUAGUC
rnacentral:rRNA from 1 species